UACGAAGGGGGCUAGCGUUGUUCGGAAUUACUGGGCGUAAAGCGCGUGUAGGCGGGUCCUUAAGUCAGGGGGGAAAUGCCGAGGCUCAACCUCGGAACUGCCUUUGAUACUGGGGAUCUUGAGUCCGGGAGAGGUGAGUGGAACUGCGAGUGUAGAGGUGAAAUUCGUAGAUAUUCGCAAGAACACCAGUGGCGAAGGCGGCUCACUGGCCCGGAACUGACGCUGAGACGCGAAAGCGUGGGGAGCAAAGAGG
rnacentral:rRNA from 1 species